AGGGUAAAAGCUUUACAUAUAGCAACUAACUGUUAACUAGUAGACAGCGACCAUCUCGCUUACCCUACC
rnacentral:tRNA from 1 species